AGGUCUGCAUGCAGGGUUCCCCCUGAGAACUGGCCUCCGGGGACCUGACAGCCAGAGCCCGCAGCUGGGCUUUUCCCUCUCCACUGAUGACUCCCAGUUUGUAGAGUUUUGCUGGGAAGCUUCCCCAGCCAGGGUGAGUUCCCCCUCCAGCUCCAUAGGUGAGACCAGUCACCACAUGGUCAGCUCUGCUCUGGCUGCUGGUCCAGGGCUGCUGCCUGCUGUGAGUGUCUGGGCGCUGGGCUAGGAGACGACCAUUUGGAUUUUAGUGUACUUGUGUAAUCUGCACCUUGACCCCUGCACCCCUUUGUGGGGAGGGGAAAUCCUGGGACCAGAAGCAGCCUGACUCCUGCCUGAAGAGGAUCUCUGCCUGAAGAGAUCAGCCCCUGUGUAGUGACAGAGGAGUCCAGAGUCAUUUCUGAACCUAAGGAUCAAUCAUGGAGUUUAUCAUUGCUGAAAAUGCUGAAUAGCGUCAGGCCUAGAGCCUGCCUGGCCACGCCUCCGCCUAGGAGUGGAGGGAUGUCGCCACUUCCGGGAAGGCCUGGAACCAGGUAUUACUUUGUUUUAAGGAGGUCAAACAUCAGCCCAACACAAGGCAGAUGCAAUUUGAGACUUAUCGACGCCUACUGAUAUAACUUCUUUAUGAUCUUUUCUAGGGCAGAAGAACCAGAGAUGUUGACAACAAAAGAGGAAGUAAAGGAUCAGAGAAAGCCAGGCCAGUAGAGGGAAAAGAAAAAAAUGCAUGUCUUAACAACUUUGAUGCUGUAUUAUUGCCUUAACACUGCACUUCAAACCAAACAGACGCUUCCAGUACAACAAGAACCAAGAAUAGUCAAGGCAAAUCAAAAUUUUAUGUUGGAACUAAGCUCAAACUUGUCUGUUGUGCAGGAUGCAAUUAUAACAGUGAUCUCGGCUCAAGAACGGAUAAAACCAGAUUAAGAUGUGAAAGAUCAACGCUUUUCAACUGAAAUUUUCUUCAAAUGGAAUUAUCAGCCAGCACAAGGACAAUUUAUAAUUACGACUUGGGUUAAAAUAUUGUUUUCAGCAUGAACUAAUAGUACAACUUUGAAAAUACAUAAAGGUACAAAGUCAUACAUCAGGUCUGUAUAGAUUGGGGUAUGGUUAGCGUUGAAGGAUAAGUGAAAGUUUGUAUUGUGGAAAGGAUUUUCCACUGGAGAUACAAAAACAAAGAAAUUUAGUUAGUCAAAUACUUCUUCCAACCACUCAUAACAAAUCUUAUCAAAAGGUAAAAAAGUAAUAGAUAAGAAACUUGUUCUUAAAUACAACAUAAAAGGUAAUGAACACAUGCCUUAUGUAGAUAAGGGAGAGAUGUUUUUCCCCUAAUUAAGAAAUCCAGGGGGGAGGAUAUAAAACAUAUUACAAGUGAAGGUAAAUCUUCAUCAAUAAGUGAUGGAAUCCCAUAUGGAUUAUGGAAAAACAAAACCAAAUGUCAAAGCUCAGUAAAAACUGAAGCAUCGACCAGAUACAUAUAUAUAACCUAAAUUAUAAAGGAGAAUAUGAAGCUUGUAGCCAAAUUAAGUCUUCGGGUAUUGUAAAAGUUAUUAAUAAAUAUUUUAAAGUAAAGGUACAAGCCACAGUAAUGGAAAAGACCAUUAUUCACAGAACCUUGUGAAGUGUUCAGUUCGCAAGAAGGCCCUGUUAGUGGUCUCACAGCUACGUCUAUACCAGGGGUAUUAAUUAAUCAAGUUCAGUUUAUUCAUAUCCCUGUUGUAUGAAAUUUAUCUAAAUUGGUAAAUAAGUGAAUUUAGUUAUUGUAAAGAUAUUAAGGUUGCAACUUUCUUUUCAGUACUUCUCAUUGAUAAAGGUUAGUUUUGAACAGUAUCACAGGUUUAUUAAUUCAGAGGUGCUAAUUUGAAAUAAGGUUAAUGUUAAAAGAAUCAUAAGGCAUAUCAAUUAUGUGAUUAAAAAAAGCUAAAAAAGUAAUCAACCCCAUGUUAAAGGAAUUAAAGGUUUAGCAAAAUAAAAAAAAAUUAUUUAUGGUGUAUAAUAUGCAGGAAAUAACCAAAUUGUUUAAUGAAACUCAAAAUAAGAUUGAUCAAUUGAUAAAAUAUAAUAAUGAUCAGGGAAAAAUCAUUAACUUGGAAAAGAAAUUAUUUGUUCAUUAUAUAGUGAAUAUGUAAUAGACACUAUUAAUAAUACCUAUUAAUUCUUGGAACUAAGAAAAGUACCCAAAUUAAUCAGAGAUCAACAAAUUUUGAAUUGGUAUUGUCCACAUUGUAUUCAAAACAUGGAGAAGAGAAAGUCGAAUGCCAAACCAAAUAUAUUUAAAGAAAACAAAACAAAUCUUUUGGUUCAAAUAGAAACUUGGGAUCUGUGAAACCACAUCCAAAUUAUGACACAUUAUUUAAAUGAAACCUGUGACAUUUUAUGAUCCAUAUGCCUCGUUCACAGUAUCAUUGGUCGUAUUCGAUCCAGAUAAGGAUGUAUGUGAUCAACUGGCUUUCCAUUCCGUAGGCCACCUAGAAGAUGAUAUCUAUAAGAAACAAAUGCAAAUACCUCCACUGGUGGUGUAUCACCAAAAUGCCCAGACAUGGAAAGUCCCAUGGAUUGCUUCCUGCUCUCAAAAGGUGCAUCAGUGGAUCUGUAGGUAUAAUGUGUUUGAUGUAACAACUCCACUGUGUCACCAGCUGGAAAGGUACCAACGCAAUGCACACUGGUAUCAUGCGCAGUGCAACUAACCAAAUAGAAAUCUUUUACGAAAUGUGUGGCCUAUAGCAAAAAGGAAUAAUAUUGUGUAGUAACUAAAUCACAAGAAAUUCUAUUAUGGUCAUCUUGGAUGUAUGGUAACAAAUCCAAAUUUUUGUGUUACGCAACAAGUACCCACAGUUAUUGGGCACACGACAAUAUCUCCAAUGUUUUCGAAAAUGAAACGGUUAUUCUUAGCAACCCAGAUCACCGGGAUCUCAUUGAACGGAGCACUCCAGUGUUUCAUGCAUAUAAACCAUUAAACUUUACAGCUAAAACAAUCGUUAAAGAAAAAAAAUGUGCAAUUAAUUAAAAUUAGGAAUAACAUAAAUAAGACAAACCAAGCACUGUCUGAAAUUUUUGACAAUAGCAGCUCAUAAGGUAUUCAUUGUAUCAAGAGAGAUGAAAAUUGGAUGGAAAAAAAGGAUUAUUGUCUAUAGUAUUGUUACUAUGUGUACUAUUAUAUUAAUCAUGGCUGGAUACUGUCAUGUAAUAUGUAUGUGACAGGGCUCUUAUUGUCCAAUCAUCAAUUAUAAUGAGAUAACACUCACCCUGUCGGGGGGAGGGGGGAGGGAAGAAAUGUAGGCAAUGAUUUUAGUUUAUUAUCCAUUUAUUGUGUGAUGUUAUGAUUAAUCAAUGUUAUAUUACAUAUAUUCAUUGGAAAUUAAUUUGUAGGAUUAUAAAAGUAUAAAAUCGAUCAGUAUUUAGAGGAACCAAGUAAGUAAGUAAGUAAGACAGACAAACUGAAACACAAGAACCUGUAGGUUGAGGCCUGCAAGACUUUAGCUUAACCAUUUUGGGCCUUGGAGACAAGAAAUGAUGACUCAGGCCAAUGACCGAGAAAUAACGUAAUGCCCUAAGGUUAUGGGAAAAGGGGCACCAAGUGGUAACAUUGUGCAAAAUUACCCAGAAGGUUAAUAUUAGAUCAUAAAAAUACUAUAAAGGCGCAUCAGUCUCAAACGUGUGUCUUAACCAUGGGAUUCAGGUUGUGAGUCGAUGCUAAUGAGAACAAAGGGAACCUACCCAGCCUAUAGAAAAUUGGGGUCCCUUAAGUUUCCAGGGGACACAGACCAAUAAGAGAAAAGAUCGUUGACACUUUUAUGGACAUGCGCAGAAUGUAGGUAUAGACAGAAUCACAUUAUAAAAAGGGGAUGCCCCGAACGGGAAAAUUAAGCUCCCUCUGGGAGGCUCCAGCAGGAACCAUCCCUCUACUGAUGACUAAGCCAUGAGAGACCCAUCAGACCCUGCAGGCUUGGCUAAACUUGCGAGUUACAGCUCAAUAAAGGAGACCCGGGCGCACUAGCUCACUACCUGGCCACACUGGCGAGGCACGUAGAGUGCUCUGACUCCGCGGCUACAGCGCUGCUGAGGUGGUACUCCACCUCGGCGAGUGGAAUAAU